CCUACGGUGGCAGCAGUGGGGAAUAUUGGACAAUGGGCGAAAGCCUGAUCCAGCCAUGCCGCGUGUGUGAAGAAGGCCUUCGGGUUGUAAAGCACUUUCAGUGGGGAAGAAAGCCUUGGGGCUAAUACCCUCGAGGAAGGACAUCACCCACAGAAGAAGCACCGGCUAACUCCGUGCCAGCAGCCGCGGUAAUACGGAGGGUGCGAGCGUUAAUCGGAAUUACUGGGCGUAAAGCGCGCGUAGGCGGUCUGAUAAGCCGGUUGUGAAAGCCCCGGGCUCAACCUGGGAACGGCAUCCGGAACUGUCAGGCUAGAGUGCAGGAGAGGAAGGUAGAAUUCCCGGUGUAGCGGUGAAAUGCGUAGAGAUCGGGAGGAAUACCAGUGGCGAAGGCGGCCUUCUGGACUGACACUGACGCUGAGGUGCGAAAGCGUGGGUAGCAAACAGGAUUAGAUACCCUGGUAGU
rnacentral:rRNA from 1 species